rnacentral:rRNA from 1 species
GAUGAACGCUAGCUACAGGCUUAACACAUGCAAGUCGAGGGGUCUUGAGGAAGCUUGCUUUCUAGAGACGACCGGCGCACGGGUGAGUAACGCGUAUCCAACCUGCCCUUCAUAUUGGGAUAGCCUUCCGAAAGGAAGAUUAAUACCGAAUAACAUAGCGAGAUUGCCUGAUUUCUCUAUGAAAGCUCCGGCGAUGAAGGAUGGGGAUGCGUUCCAUUAGGUAGUAGGCGGGGUAACGGCCCACCUAGCCGACGAUGGAUAGGGGUUCUGAGAGGAAGGUCCCCCACACUGGAACUGAGACACGGUCCAGACUCCUACGGGAGGCAGCAGUGAGGAAUAUUGGUCAAUGGACGGAAGUCUGAACCAGCCAAGUCGCGUGAAGGAUGAAGGUUCUAUGGAUUGUAAACUUCUUUUGUCUGAGGGUAAAAAGCGGACGUGUCCGUUCUUGCAAGUAUCAGACGAAUAAGCAUCGGCUAACUCCGUG